UAAUACGUAGGUGGCAAGCGUUGUCCGGAAUUAUUGGGCGUAAAGGGAGCGCAGGUGGGAAUGUAAGUCAGUCUUAAAAGUGCGGGGCUCAACCCCGUGAGGGGAUUGAAACUACAUUUCUUGAGUGCAGGAGAGGAAAGUGGAAUUCCUAGUGUAGCGGUGAAAUGCGUAGAGAUUAGGAGGAACACCAGUGGCGAAGGCGACUUUCUGGACUGUAACUGACACUGAGGCUCGAAAGCCAGGGGAGCGAACGGGAUUAGAUACCCCGGUAGUCCUGGCCGUAAACGAUGGAUACUAGGUGUGGGAGGUAUCGACCCCUUCCGUGCCGGAGUUAACGCAAUAAGUAUCCCGCCUGGGGAGUACGGCCGCAAGGCUGAAACUUAAAGGAAUUGACGG
rnacentral:rRNA from 1 species